rnacentral:rRNA from 1 species
GACGAACGCUGGCGGCGUGCUUAACACAUGCAAGUCGAACGGAAAGGCCCUGCUUUUGUGGGGUGCUCGAGUGGCGAACGGGUGAGUAACAAGUGAGUAACCUGCCCUUGACUUUGGGAUAACUUCAGGAAACUGGGGCUAAUACCGGAUAGGAGCUCCUGCUGCAUGGUGGGGGUUGGAAAGUUUCGGCGGUUGGGGAUGGACUCGCGGCUUAUCAGCUUGUUGGUGGGGUAGUGGCUUACCAAGGCUUUGACGGGUAGCCGGCCUGAGAGGGUGACCGGCCACAUUGGGACUGAGAUACGGCCCAGACUCCUACGGGAGGCAGCAGUGGGGAAGAGUGCACAAUGGGAGGAAGCCUGAUGCAGCAACGCCGCGUGCGGGAUGACGGCCUUCGGGUUGUAAACCGCAUUCGCCUGUGACGAAGCGUGAGUGACGGUAAUGGGUAAAGAAGCACCGGCUAACUACGUG